UACAGGAUAUAUGAGGGAAGAAGUAAAUUAAAGAUAAGUAGUGCUCCAAAAUGAUGAAGACAUGUCAGAAGGUGUCAGAAGCUUGAAGGGACUUGCCCUGGCCAAAUCUGGAAUUAUUUGAGCAUCCAAAUUAAUAGUGAUAGUAAAAGCUUAUAACACAAUAAAUAAAAUAGGGAUGCAUGAGUCCAUACUAAUAUCAAUAAAUAAAUGAAUAAAUCAUUGGGAGAGAAUUCUAGGCAAUAAACAUAGGAGAAAUGUUGGAGUUAGAAAAUCACUAUUUGGCAACUAGUAUUCUCAAAGUAUUUUAAUUACAAAGGGAAAAGUAGCAGUUUUCACUGAGAAGAAACCUAGAAGACACCACCUUACCAAGUGAUCAAAGUGAAUACACCCACUAAUGGGACAAAUGGAUAUCAUUGCCUCCUGAUGUGAUCAAUAGAGGGCAUAGCAUCACUUCUCUGGCAUUCCUGUCAAAAAUCCUCAACCUGAAUUUGGUCAUGAGACAAACCCAAACACAUGCAUUGUGAAAUAAGUGGCCUGUAUUCUUCAAAAAUACCAAGAUUAUGGAAGGCAAGGGAAGAUUAAGGAAUUAAUUGUUCCAGAUAAAGAGGCAUGACAAUUAACUGCAGAACAUGAGCUAGAUUAGAAAAAGAUUGGGACAAUUGGUGAAAUUUUGGAUGGGACUGUGGAUGUGAUGGUAGAUGGUAGUAUCAUUAACAAGAUAAUUUCCCAAUUAGCAGGUUUUACUUAGUGGUGUAGGAGAGUAUCCUUGUCUUUUAGGAAAAACAUACUGACAUAUCAAUGGUAUAUCAUGGCUAAACUUACUCUCAGUUCUGAAGAUAAUGAUUUUAAGUAUGUAUUUAUACCUCUUUUGUGGCGAUUGUAUAGAUGUAAAUUUUUAUUCCAUUCUAAACAGACCUAUGUAAUGCCUCAUUAUACCCUUUAAUCUGGUUUCUAAAAAAUAUUUCAUAAAGUUUGUUUUGAUCAAGUUUUUACCUUAGUUGACCUUUGCAAUCUCAACAAAAAAUGCUAAUUCACAGCACCCCAAUCACAAGUUCAUUGCAUUCAUGUAUUUUUUACUUAGUAUUUUUCCAUAAUUUCCCCUUGAUUUAAUAUAUCUUAAACAUAGGUAACCAACUCCUUGAUGUUUAUAAUGAGAAGAGAAUAGUCUUUAGACUUAGACAAACUUGAUUUCAGACUCCAGUUCUAUUUCUCUCUAGUUAUGUAAACUGGGACAAAAUUCUCAUCUUUUUUUUUUCUUUUUUUUGUCAUGAUUUCCUCAUCCGUAGGCAACUGAGAAUUGUUGUCAGAAACAAACAUGGAAACAUGAGAAGCCUAAGCACAGUUUCUGGCAUGUAAGAGGCAUGCAGUAAGUGUUACAUUCUCUCACUUCAUUCUUUCUCCCUUCUCUCACCAGAAGUAUUCAUAUAGGUCCCCUAGGCAUAAGGAAAUACAGAGAUUAUUAAUAAGAGGCCAGAGCAAAAGGAUCUCCACCCCUGUCCUUUUGUUCAUCUUUGGCUUUCCUCUUUGUAUCUGACUCUUGCCUUUAUUUCUGUAAGUCAUCUGUCAUCAUCCAGGAGACGAAGCGGGCCAGAUGAUGAUCCCAGUUUGGGGGAGGAUGAUAGUAGAGCACAGAGAGGAUGAGGGGAUAGUCAGAACACCAAAGGUUCCUAGGGGACCAGUAGCCAGUGGAAGUGAGGAAUAUUGAACAAGUCUUUCUAGCCUAAAGACUAUUACCGUUUGCUGCGGGAGUACCUUAUAAUCUCUGAGAAAAAUACUGAUUGAUCAUGGCUGAAUGCAUGUUUGAUGCUUCUCUCCGACUUGUUACUCAGCAACAAAAUUUUAGCUAUUCUGAGUCCUGGGGCCAUUCAGUGCUUGCAGUUUCUUUCCUUUCAUUGAUAGCUUCAUAUUUUCUUUGUUCUUUUUUGUUUUGUUUUGUUUUUUUUCUUGUUGCUAACCUUCUUUGCACUUUAUACAUAAAUAUAUAUUCCCUAACUGUCAACAUACAUUUUAUGCAAUCUUUAUUACAUAUUCAUUUAUCUCUAUUUCUUUUGUCUUCUUUUAAUAUCUGCAAGGGGUGGGUGAAAUAAGUGAAGGUGAUCAAAAAGUACAAACUUCCAGUUGAAAAAAGAAAGAAAAAAAA
rnacentral:lncRNA from 1 species